rnacentral:lncRNA from 1 species
GGGGAUUGGAGGGACAGGGAAAGCAGUUAGAGUCCAGAGAAAUAAUUGUAGGUUGAACUCACUGCUCCAAUGUUUUGUAUGGCUCCUCGCUUGACAUGGGCAAGCAGUAUCCAGAGAUUACCAAGUAAUCGAGUGAUAAUGUUCCAUAUCUUCUGCUCGACAGAGAGGUGAUUCCAUACCUUCAUGCAAAGCUCAGUAUGGAAGCAGUAUUUAUACCAAGGGAGUUAAUUUGAUUAUAUCAGACUGAGGAAAUGGGGCUUGAGUAGCUUAUCAAUUUUAUCAACCUACGAUUUAGUGACCCUGGG